CCCGUACACAAAAAUGCACAUAUUGUGAGCUCGAUGAGUAGGGCGGGACACGUGGUAUCCUGUCUGAAUAUGGGGGGACCAUCCUCCAAGGCUAAAUACUCCUGACUGACCGAUAGUGAACCAGUACCGUGAGGGAAAGGCGAAAAGAACCCCGGCGAGGGGAGUGAAAAAGAACCUGAAACCGUGUACGUACAAGCAGUGGGAGCACGCUUAGGCGUGUGACUGCGUACCUUUUGUAUAAUGGGUCAGCGACUUAUAUUCUGUAGCAAGGUUAACCGAAUAGGGGAGCCGAAGGGAAACCGAGUCUUAACUGGGCGUUAAGUUGCAGGGUAUAGACCCGAAACCCGGUGAUCUAGCCAUGGGCAGGUUGAAGGUUGGGUAACACUAACUGGAGGACCGAACCGACUAAUGUUGAAAAAUUAGCGGAUGACUUGUGGCUGGGGGUGAAAGGCCAAUCAAACCGGGAGAUAGCUGGUUCUCCCCGAAAGCUAUUUAGGUAGCGCCUCGUGAAUUCAUCUCCGGGGGUAGAGCACUGUUUCGGCAAGGGGGUCAUCCCGACUUACCAACCCGAUGCAAACUGCGAAUACCGGAGAAUGUUAUCACGGGAGACACACGGCGGGUGCUAACGUCCGUCGUGAAGAGGGAAACAACCCAGACCGCCAGCUAAGGUCCCAAAGUCAUGGUUAAGUGGGAAACGAUGUGGGAAGGCCCAGACAGCCAGGAUGUUGGCUUAGAAGCAGCCAUCAUUUAAAGAAAGCGUAAUAGCUCACUGGUCGAGUCGGCCUGCGCGGAAGAUGUAACGGGGCUAAACCAUGCACCGAAGCUGCGGCAGCGACGCUUAUGCGUUGUUGGGUAGGGGAGCGUUCUGUAAGCCUGCGAAGGUGUGCUGUGAGGCAUGCUGGAGGUAUCAGAAGUGCGAAUGCUGACAUAAGUAACGAUAAAGCGGGUGAAAAGCCCGCUCGCCGGAAGACCAAGGGUUCCUGUCCAACGUUAAUCGGGGCAGGGUGAGUCGACCCCUAAGGCGAGGCCGAAAGGCGUAGUCGAUGGGAAACAGGUUAAUAUUCCUGUACUUGGUGUUACUGCGAAGGGGGGACGGAGAAGGCUAUGUUGGCCGGGCGACGGUUGUCCCGGUUUAAGCGUGUAGGCUGGUUUUCCAGGCAAAUCCGGAAAAUCAAGGCUGAGGCGUGAUGACGAGGCACUACGGUGCUGAAGCAACAAAUGCCCUGCUUCCAGGAAAAGCCUCUAAGCAUCAGGUAACAUCAAAUCGUACCCCAAACCGACACAGGUGGUCAGGUAGAGAAUACCAAGGCGCUUGAGAGAACUCGGGUGAAGGAACUAGGCAAAAUGGUGCCGUAACUUCGGGAGAAGGC
rnacentral:rRNA from 1 species